AGAUUUAGCUUCAGUAGGUGACCUGCGGAGGAUCAUUA
rnacentral:rRNA from 1 species